rnacentral:rRNA from 1 species
AUACGUAGGGUGCAAGCGUUAAUCGGAAUUACUGGGCGUAAAGCGUGCGCAGGCGGUUUUGUAAGACAGUGGUGAAAUCCCCGGGCUCCACCUGGGAACUGCCAUUGUGACUGCAAGGCUGGAGUGCGGCCGAGGGGGAUGGAAUUCCGCGUGUAGAAGUGAAAUGCGUAGAUAUGCGGAGGAAAACCGAUGGCGAAGGAAAUCCCCUGGGCCUGCACUGACGCUCAUGCACGAAAGCGUGGGGAGCAAACAGGAUUAGAUACCCUGGUAGUCCACGCCCUAAACGAUGUCAACUGGUUGUUGGGGAUUUAUUUUCUCAGUAACGAAGCUAACGCGUGAAGUUGACCGCCUGGGGAGUACGGCCGCAAGGUUAAAACUCAAAUGAAUUGACGGGG